GUGUCAGCAGCCGCGGUAAUACGGAGGGUGCGAGCGUUAAUCGGAAUUACUGGGCGUAAAGGGUGCGUAGGUUGUUAGUUAAGUUAUCUGUGAAAUCCCUGGGCUUAACCUGGGCAGGUCAGAUAAAACUGAUUAACUCGAGUAUGGGAGAGGGUAGUGGAAUUUCCGGUGUAGCGGUGAAAUGCGUAGAGAUCGGAAGGAACACCAGUGGCGAAGGCGGCUACCUGGCCCAAUACUGACACUGAGGCACGAAAGCGUGGGGAGCAAACAGGAUUAGAUACCCUGGUAGUCCACGCCGUAAACGAUGUCAACUAGCUGUUGGCCAUCGAAUGAGAUGGUUAGUGGCGCAGCUAACGCGAUAAGUUGACCGCCUGGGGAGUACGGUCGCAAGAUUAAA
rnacentral:rRNA from 1 species